rnacentral:rRNA from 1 species
UACGUAGGGUGCGAGCGUUGUCCGGAAUUACUGGGCGUAAAGAGCUCGUAGGUGGUUUGUCGCGUUGUUCGUGAAAACUCACAGCUCAACUGUGGGCGUGCGGGCGAUACGGGCAGACUGGAGUACUGCAGGGGAGACUGGAAUUCCUGGUGUAGCGGUGAAAUGCGCAGAUAUCAGGAGGAACACCAAUUGCGAAGGCAGCUCGCUGGGACGUAACUGACGCUGAGACGCGAAAGCGUGGGGAGCGAACAGG